rnacentral:rRNA from 1 species
GACGAACGCUGGCGGCGUGCUUAACACAUGCAAGUCGAGCGGAAAGGCCCUUCGGGGUACUCGAGCGGCGAACGGGUAAGUAACACGUGGGUAACCUGCCUGUGGCUCUGGGAUAACUCCGGGAAACCGGGGCUAAUACUGGAUAUGACAAUUGACCGCAUGGUUGGGUGUGGAAAGUUUUUCGGCUGAUGAUGGACCCGCGGCCUAUCAGCUUGUUGGUGGGGUAACGGCCUACCAAGGCGUUGACGGGUAGCCGGCCUGAGAGGGCGACCGGCCACACUGGGACUGAGACACGGCCCAGACUCCUGCGGGAGGCAGCAGUGGGGAAUAUUGCGCAAUGGGCGAAAGCCUGACGCAGCGACGCCGCGUGAGGGAUGACGGCCUUCGGGUUGUAAACCUCUUUCGCCAGGGACGAAGCGCAAGUGACGGUACCUGGAGAAGAAGGACCGGCCAACUACGUGCCAGCCGCCGCCGUAAGAC